rnacentral:piRNA from 1 species
UAAGAUUUAAGCAAGGAACUCAGCUAUAUG